UGUUUCUGUGCCCUUGCCAUUUCCCCGUUUGGUUUUUCUCAGAUUUGAAAGGAACAUGGAUUUUUUUUAAAUGAAACAAGCUGAAAAAUAAUCCUCGCAAAGCAAAAACUGAAAGCAAUUUGCAAAGCCCACUGACCAACUCUGGAAAAAAUUGGAUUAAACUGAAAGGAGCAGAGUGGGUUUUCCUGGCAGGUGGCAAACGACCCACUGAGAUUGCGAUGCCUUGCCCAAGGAAAAGCAAGCUGACUGUGAACUUGGUCUAAAGCGGGCUCUGCUGGUCCUGGCUCGGAGGCGCUCCUGCUACUUUGACAGCUGUCGUUUUGG